GUGGGGAAUUUUGGACAAUGGGCGCAAGCCUGAUCCAGCAAUGCCGCGUGCAGGAAGAAGGCCUUCGGGUUGUAAACUGCUUUUGUACGGAACGAAACGGUCCUGGUUAAUACCCGGGGCUAAUGACGGUACCGUAAGAAUAAGCACCGGCUAACUACGUGCCAGCAGCCGCGGUAAUACGUAGGGUGCAAGCGUUAAUCGGAAUUACUGGGCGUAAAGCGUGCGCAGGCGGUGCUGUAAGACAGGCGUGAAAUCCCUGGGCUUAACCUGGGAAUUGCGCUUGUGACUGCAGUGCUGGAGUGCGGCAGAGGGGGAUGGAAUUCCGCGUGUAGCAGUGAAAUGCGUAGAUAUGCGGAGGAACACCGAUGGCGAAGGCAAUCCCCUGGGCCUGCACUGACGCUCAUGCACGAAAGCGUGGGGAGCAAACAGGAUUAGAUACCCUGGUAGUCC
rnacentral:rRNA from 1 species